GGUUAAGCGACUAAGCGUACACGGUGGAUGCCCUGGCAGUCAGAGGCGAUGAAGGACGUGCUAAUCUGCGAUAAGCGUCGGUAAGGUGAUAUGAACCGUUAUAACCGGCGAUUUCCGAAUGGGGAAACCCAGUGUGUUUCGACACACUAUCAUUAACUGAAUCCAUAGGUUAAUGAGGCGAACCGGGGGAACUGAAACAUCUAAGUACCCCGAGGAAAAGAAAUCAACCGAGAUUCCCCCAGUAGCGGCGAGCGAACGGGGAGCAGCCCAGAGCCUGAAUCAGUGUGUGUGUUAGUGGAAGCGUCUGGAAAGGCGCGCGAUACAGGGUGACAGCCCCGUACACAAAAAUACACAUACUGUGAGCUCGAUGAGUAGGGCGGGACACGUGGUAUCCUGUCUGAAUAUGGGGGGACCAUCCUCCAAGGCUAAAUACUCCUGACUGACCGAUAGUGAACCAGUACCGUGAGGGAAAGGCGAAAAGAACCCCGGCGAGGGGAGUGAAAAAGAACCUGAAACCGUGUACGUACAAGCAGUGGGAGCACGCUUAGGCGUGUGACUGCGUACCUUUUGUAUAAUGGGUCAGCGACUUAUAUUCUGUAGCAAGGUUAACCGAAUAGGGGAGCCGAAGGGAAACCGAGUCUUAACUGGGCGUUAAGUUGCAGGGUAUAGACCCGAAACCCGGUGAUCUAGCCAUGGGCAGGUUGAAGGUUGGGUAACACUAACUGGAGGACCGAACCGACUAAUGUUGAAAAAUUAGCGGAUGACUUGUGGCUGGGGGUGAAAGGCCAAUCAAACCGGGAGAUAGCUGGUUCUCCCCGAAAGCUAUUUAGGUAGCGCCUCGUGAAUUCAUCUCCGGGGGUAGAGCACUGUUUCGGCAAGGGGGUCAUCCCGACUUACCAACCCGAUGCAAACUGCGAAUACCGGAGAAUGUUAUCACGGGAGACACACGGCGGGUGCUAACGUCCGUCGUGAAGAGGGAAACAACCCAGACCGCCAGCUAAGGUCCCAAAGUCAUGGUUAAGUGGGAAACGAUGUGGGAAGGCCCAGACAGCCAGGAUGUUGGCUUAGAAGCAGCCAUCAUUUAAAGAAAGCGUAAUAGCUCACUGGUCGAGUCGGCCUGCGCGGAAGAUGUAACGGGGCUAAACCAUGCACCGAAGCUGCGGCAGCGACACUAUGUGUUGUUGGGUAGGGGAGCGUUCUGUAAGCCUGUGAAGGUGUACUGUGAGGUAUGCUGGAGGUAUCAGAAGUGCGAAUGCUGACAUAAGUAACGAUAAAGCGGGUGAAAAGCCCGCUCGCCGGAAGACCAAGGGUUCCUGUCCAACGUUAAUCGGGGCAGGGUGAGUCGACCCCUAAGGCGAGGCCGAAAGGCGUAGUCGAUGGGAAAAGGUUAAUAUUCCUGUACUUGGUGUUACUGCGAAGGGGGGACGGAGAAGGCUAUGUUGGCCGGGCGACGGUUGUCCCGGUUUAAGCGUGUAGGCUGGUUUUCCAGGCAAAUCCGGAAAAUCAAGGCUGAGGCGUGAUGACGAGGCACUACGGUGCUGAAGCAACAAAUGCCCUGCUUCCAGGAAAAGCCUCUAAGCAUCAGGUAACAUCAAAUCGUACCCCAAACCGACACAGGUGGUCAGGUAGAGAAUACCAAGGCGCUUGAGAGAACUCGGGUGAAGGAACUAGGCAAAAUGGUGCCGUAACUUCGGGAGAAGGCACGCUGAUAUGUAGGUGAAGUCCCUCGCGGAUGGAGCUGAAAUCAGUCGAAGAUACCAGCUGGCUGCAACUGUUUAUUAAAAACACAGCACUGUGCAAACACGAAAGUGGACGUAUACGGUGUGACGCCUGCCCGGUGCCGGAAGGUUAAUUGAUGGGGUUAGCGCAAGCGAAGCUCUUGAUCGAUCGAAGCCCCGGUAAACGGCGGCCGUAACUAUAACGGUCCUAAGGUAGCGAAAUUCCUUGUCGGGUAAGUUCCGACCUGCACGAAUGGCGUAAUGAUGGCCAGGCUGUCUCCACCCGAGACUCAGUGAAAUUGAACUCGCUGUGAAGAUGCAGUGUACCCGCGGCAAGACGGAAAGACCCCGUGAACCUUUACUAUAGCUUGACACUGAACAUUGAGCCUUGAUGUGUAGGAUAGGUGGGAGGCUUUGAAGUGUGGACGCCAGUCUGCAUGGAGCCGACCUUGAAAUACCACCCUUUAAUGUUUGAUGUUCUAACGUUGACCCGUAAUCCGGGUUGCGGACAGUGUCUGGUGGGUAGUUUGACUGGGGCGGUCUCCUCCUAAAGAGUAACGGAGGAGCACGAAGGUUGGCUAAUCCUGGUCGGACAUCAGGAGGUUAGUGCAAUGGCAUAAGCCAGCUUGACUGCGAGCGUGACGGCGCGAGCAGGUGCGAAAGCAGGUCAUAGUGAUCCGGUGGUUCUGAAUGGAAGGGCCAUCGCUCAACGGAUAAAAGGUACUCCGGGGAUAACAGGCUGAUACCGCCCAAGAGUUCAUAUCGACGGCGGUGUUUGGCACCUCGAUGUCGGCUCAUCACAUCCUGGGGCUGAAGUAGGUCCCAAGGGUAUGGCUGUUCGCCAUUUAAAGUGGUACGCGAGCUGGGUUUAGAACGUCGUGAGACAGUUCGGUCCCUAUCUGCCGUGGGCGCUGGAGAAUUGAGGGGGGCUGCUCCUAGUACGAGAGGACCGGAGUGGACGCAUCACUGGUGUUCGGGUUGUCAUGCCAAUGGCACUGCCCGGUAGCUAAAUGCGGAAGAGAUAAGUGCUGAAAGCAUCUAAGCACGAAACUUGCCCCGAGAUGAGUUCUCCCUGACUCCUUGAGAGUCCUGAAGGAACGUUGAAGACGACGACGUUGAUAGGCCGGGUGUGUAAGCGCAGCGAUGCGUUGAGCUAACCGGUACUAAUGAACCGUGAGGCUUAACCUU
rnacentral:rRNA from 1 species